GGGGUGCAGCAGGCGCGAAAUCUCUGCAAUAGGCGAAAGCUUGACAGGGUUACUCUGAGUGAUUCCCGUUAAGGGGAUCUUUUGGCACCUUUAAAAAUGGUGCAGAAUAAGGGGUGGGCAAGUCUGGUGUCAGCCGCCGCGGUAAUACCAGCACCCCGAGUGGUCGGGACGAUUAUUGGGCCUAAAGCAUCCGUAGCCGGUACUGCAAGUCUUCCGUUAAAUCCACCUGCUUAACAGUUGGGCUGCGGGGGAUACUACAGCGCUAGGAGGCGGGAGAGGCAAGCGGUACUCAAUGGGUAGGGGUAAAAUCCGCUGAUCCAUUGAAGACCACCAGUGGCGAAGGCGGCUUGCCAGAACGCGCUCGACGGUGAGGGAUGAAAGCUGGGGGAGCAAACCGGAUUAGAUACCCGGGUAGUCCCAGCUGUAAACGAUGCAGACUCGGUGAUGGGCUGGCCUUGUGCCAGCCCAGUGCCGCAGGGAAGCCGUUAAGUCUGCCGCCUGGGGAGUACGGUCGCAAGACUGAAACUUAAAGGAAAUGGCG
rnacentral:rRNA from 1 species